GCGAUCAUCUUACCUGGCAGUGCUGGACUGUACACGUGUAUUCUAACACUGUCUGGUAACGAUGUUUGC
rnacentral:pre_miRNA from 1 species